GUCGGCAACCCUAGCGUUGUGCCGGUGCGCGCGGUGUGGGGAGCGGCGCGCUAAAGGUAACUCCAUUGUAUUUUUGUGUAGGUAUCAAAACGGUAGGUAUUUGCGUUUUCUUUGAGAGAUAAGUAUCUGUUCGUAAGAACUAUUAUAUAAUCUGCGGUCUAACUUCUCUGAAAUUAUGACGUUUAAAAUAACACUUGCACAGUCUGUGCUAUCAAAAUAUCGCUGCCGAGUUAGCUCGGUCUGACUAUUUAUCUUUUUUAAAACAUUAAAAUACGGACUACUGUGAACUGUUAAAUUAUUUAGUAUAAUCUUGUCACUUUAUAACCUAGUAAAUAAAGGGUUUUGUCUUGGUAACGCUAAAACCCUUGUUUUACUAAUUUACUCACGAAAGAAUGCCCACUCUUUGUCUUUCUGUACUAAAUGGUCAAACUUAUUAGUAGGUACAGACAGUGCCGGCCCGAGUCCUUGAUCAUGAUCAGGGUAGAGCGAAAUCGGGUUUUGGCGCCCUUCGUUGAAGCUUUUUACCCAAAAGCAAAACGAGCCAUAUUUUGGGCCCGUCUUUUAAAACUUUUUUUUUCUCAUUUGCCAUUUUGGUGCCCCCCUUGCCAUCCGGCGCCUAGAGCGGCCGCUCCACUCGCUCUACCCUAGAUCCGGCCCUGGGUACAAAAGUACAUAUGGGGUGUGCCUUCGUGAAUGGAAAUACAAAUUAGUAAAGACAAUAUAACUACUGUAGACGUAUACGGUUGAAUAUUAGAUCGUUGAGCGGAUCUAGGUGCCGCAUGGUUUCGUAUAGAGAUUACGGGGAUCCGUGUCCGGUCCGUCCGGUAUCCACAGCGAGGGUUUUAAUUGAAAUGACAUUUGGCUACUGGAUGUCAUAGGUGUCGGCAGCGGUACAAUGUCGAUAGACGGCGGUUGGCAGAUAACGCAGUGUUGUCUUAAGGGUCCUCCACACUCGUGCGCGAAUACGGCGUGAACGCGAGUGUGGGGUCGAUUUCGCAGAUUGUUCACGCCUUCGCGCCUUGUUCCCGUUUUUUGUCGGUUUUUCGGCCGGCGUCAAAGGAGACGCGAACAGUGUUGUUAAAAGACUAGUCUUUAAGACUUUUGAACCUUAACGACUCGCGAACCUUUAAGGCUCAAGCUUUGAAAGCUAGAGCGUUAAAGGUUUGCUCACAAAGCGGUUUAGAACCUUAACGACUCAAAUUUUUUAUGACUUGUCAAAAUGAAGUCUUUAAGACUCGGGCCUCAUAGGGAACUCUAGCUUUUUAACUUAAGCUCAACCUUAAAAGCUUGUGUCAAGCUUAGAGCUCAUAUGUUGAGCUCUCUUUGCAGAAAUUAUUUUUGUGUAGAGAAUUUACGAAUAUUAUAAUAUACCUAUACUACUAGAGUACCUUAACAUCAGUUAACGCAUUUACUGCCUGCAACGUAUACAGGGUGGACCAUUUAGAACCGUGAUUCCGUUGCGUAUGUACAUCCAGAUACAUUUUCUAUGAACCUAUAUUUUAAAAUUUUCCCGUUCCGUUCCGUCCUAUAUGAGUGAGUCAUAAGAAAUAAAAAUAAAAGUAUUUAAAAAGUUUUUUUUUGUUUUUGCUCGAGCACUCUUUGUCAGCGUGUUCACAUUUCACAACACAUACCUAUUACCUAUUCAUACCAAGUUUCAACUUUCUAGUACUAGUCACUGAGCCAACCCGCGGACUGACAGACAUGGCGAAACUAUAAGGGUUCCUAGUUGACUAUACGGAACUCAAAAAGCGAUGUCAUAAUUAUCUUUUUCUGUUUUUGCCUAUUUCACAAAAACGUAUUAAAUUUCACCCUACCCUAUAGCAUAGGUUGAUCUUAUUUGUUAAAAGCUUUUACUUUUUGCUCCAAGCCUUUACUGCUAAAAACCUUACAGACUUAAACCUUCAAAGCUUAGGAGGCUUUAAAGCUUGAGGCCAAAAGACUCGAGGUUUCUUUGCUCGUAAGCAGCAACACGAACUCUUGGUUCGAGUCAUUAAGGUUCCGAGGCUUUAAGGCUCAGCAGUCGCGACUCAAGUCUUGUAGUUUACGCCUCAAAGCUUAAAUCCACAACACUAGACGCGAAGCGCGAACUUGCAAGAUUCCACAUUACACACUAUUUUGGCCCCUCUGUGGCAAGAUAAAUAUAUAUUAUAUUAUGAUUAUAUUAUAGAAAGCAGCUAUAUUUUACGGUUUUACGAU